GGGUUGUGAGGUUAAGCGACUAAGCGUACACGGUGGAUGCCCUGGCAGUCAGAGGCGAUGAAGGACGUGCUAAUCUGCGAAAAGCGUCGGUAAGGUGAUAUGAACCGUUAUAGCCGGCGAUGUCCGAAUGGGGAAACCCAGUGCAAUUCGUUGCACUAUCGUUAACUGAAUACAUAGGUUAACGAGGCGAACCGGGGGAACUGAAACAUCUAAGUACCCCGAGGAAAAGAAAUCAACCGAGAUUCCCCCAGUAGCGGCGAGCGAACGGGGAGCAGCCCAGAGUCUGAAUCAGCUUGUGUGUUAGUGGAACGGUCUGGAAAGUCCGACGGUACAGGGUGAUAGUCCCGUACACCAAAAUGCACAGGCUGUGAACUCGAAGAGUAGGGCGGGACACGUGGUAUCCUGUCUGAAUAUGGGGGGACCAUCCUCCAAGGCUAAAUACUCCUGACUGACCGAUAGUGAACCAGUACCGUGAGGGAAAGGCGAAAAGAACCCCGGCGAGGGGAGUGAAAAAGAACCUGAAACCGUGUACGUACAAGCAGUGGGAGCACCUUCGGGUGUGACUGCGUACCUUUUGUAUAAUGGGUCAGCGACUUAUAUUCUGUAGCAAGGUUAACCGUAUAGGGGAGCCGCAGGGAAACCGAGUCUUAACUGGGCGUUAAGUUGCAGGGUAUAGACCCGAAACCCGGUGAUCUAGCCAUGGGCAGGUUGAAGGUUGGGUAACACUAACUGGAGGACCGAACCGACUAAUGUUGAAAAAUUAGCGGAUGACUUGUGGCUGGGGGUGAAAGGCCAAUCAAACCGGGAGAUAGCUGGUUCUCCCCGAAAGCUAUUUAGGUAGCGCCUCGUGAACUCAUCUUCGGGGGUAGAGCACUGUUUCGGCUAGGGGGUCAUCCCGACUUACCAACCCGAUGCAAACUACGAAUACCGAAGAAUGUUAUCACGGGAGACACACGGCGGGUGCUAACGUCCGUCGUGAAGAGGGAAACAACCCAGACCGCCAGCUAAGGUCCCAAAGUCAUGGUUAAGUGGGAAACGAUGUGGGAAGGCACAGACAGCCAGGAUGUUGGCUUAGAAGCAGCCAUCAUUUAAAGAAAGCGUAAUAGCUCACUGGUCGAGUCGGCCUGCGCGGAAGAUGUAACGGGGCUAAACCAUGCACCGAAGCUGCGGCAGCGACACUAUGUGUUGUUGGGUAGGGGAGCGUUCUGUAAGCCUGCGAAGGUGUGCUGUGAGGCAUGCUGGAGGUAUCAGAAGUGCGAAUGCUGACAUAAGUAACGAUAAAGCGGGUGAAAAGCCCGCUCGCCGGAAGACCAAGGGUUCCUGUCCAACGUUAAUCGGGGCAGGGUGAGUCGACCCCUAAGGCGAGGCCGAAAGGCGUAGUCGAUGGGAAACAGGUUAAUAUUCCUGUACUUGGUGUUACUGCGAAGGGGGGACGGAGAAGGCUAUGUUAGCCGGGCGACGGUUGUCCCGGUUUAAGCAUGUAGGCUGGUUAUCCAGGCAAAUCCGGAUAAUCAAGGCUGAGGUGUGAUGACGAGGCACUACGGUGCUGAAGUAACAAAUGCCCUGCUUCCAGGAAAAGCCUCUAAGCAUCAGGUAACAUCAAAUCGUACCCCAAACCGACACAGGUGGUCAGGUAGAGAAUACCAAGGCGCUUGAGAGAACUCGGGUGAAGGAACUAGGCAAAAUGGUGCCGUAACUUCGGGAGAAGGCACGCUGGUGUGUAGGUGAAGCCCCUGCGGGUGGAGCUGAGACCAGUCGAAGAUACCAGCUGGCUGCAACUGUUUAUUAAAAACACAGCACUGUGCAAACACGAAAGUGGACGUAUACGGUGUGACGCCUGCCCGGUGCCGGAAGGUUAAUUGAUGGGGUUAUCCGUAAGGAGAAGCUCUUGAUCGAAGCCCCGGUAAACGGCGGCCGUAACUAUAACGGUCCUAAGGUAGCGAAAUUCCUUGUCGGGUAAGUUCCGACCUGCACGAAUGGCGUAAUGAUGGCCAGGCUGUCUCCACCCGAGACUCAGUGAAAUUGAACUCGCUGUGAAGAUGCAGUGUACCCGCGGCAAGACGGAAAGACCCCGUGAACCUUUACUAUAGCUUGACACUGAACAUUGAGCCUUGAUGUGUAGGAUAGGUGGGAGGCUUUGAAGCGUGGACGCCAGUCUGCGUGGAGCCAACCUUGAAAUACCACCCUUUAAUGUUUGAUGUUCUAACGUUGGCCCCUUACCGGGGUUGCGGACAGUGUCUGGUGGGUAGUUUGACUGGGGCGGUCUCCUCCCAAAGCGUAACGGAGGAGCACGAAGGUUAGCUAAUCCUGGUCGGACAUCAGGAGGUUAGUGCAAUGGCAUAAGCUAGCUUGACUGCGAGCGUGACGGCGCGAGCAGGUGCGAAAGCAGGUCAUAGUGAUCCGGUGGUUCUGAAUGGAAGGGCCAUCGCUCAACGGAUAAAAGGUACUCCGGGGAUAACAGGCUGAUACCGCCCAAGAGUUCAUAUCGACGGCGGUGUUUGGCACCUCGAUGUCGGCUCAUCACAUCCUGGGGCUGAAGUAGGUCCCAAGGGUAUGGCUGUUCGCCAUUUAAAGUGGUACGCGAGCUGGGUUUAGAACGUCGUGAGACAGUUCGGUCCCUAUCUGCCGUGGGCGCUGGAGAAUUGAGGGGGGCUGCUCCUAGUACGAGAGGACCGGAGUGGACGCAUCACUGGUGUUCGGGUUGUCAUGCCAAUGGCACUGCCCGGUAGCUAAAUGCGGAAGAGAUAAGUGCUGAAAGCAUCUAAGCACGAAACUUGCCCCGAGAUGAGUUCUCCCUGAGACUUUAAGUCUCCUGAAGGAACGUUGAAGACGACGACGUUGAUAGGCCGGGUGUGUAAGCGCAGCGAUGCGUUGAGCUAACCGGUACUAAUGAACCGUGAGGCUUAACCUUACAACGCCGAAG
rnacentral:rRNA from 1 species